rfam:Tetranychus urticae London genomic scaffold, scaffold_1
GUUGAACAAGCCGGAACCUUUGACUCAACCUUAUGAAGUAUUCAAUUUAGUUGAGCAAAGUUUCAGGUGUGUCCAAUG